rnacentral:rRNA from 1 species
UCCACGCCGUAAACGAUGCAAACUAGGUAUUGGGAUUUCGACCGUCUUGGUACCGAAGCUAACGCGUUAAGUUUGCCGCCUGGGGAGUACGAGCGCAAGCUUAAAACUCAAAGGAAUUGGCGGGGGCUCGCACAAGCGGUGGAACAUGGGGUUUAAUUCGACAAUACGCGGAGAACCUCACCAAGGUUUGACAUCUACGGAAUCCUGCAGAAACGCGGGAGUGCCCCUUCGGG